GGAGACUGCCAGGGAUAACCUGGAGGAAGGCGGGGAUGACGUCAAUCAUCAUGCCCCUUAUGAUUUGGGCUACACACGUGCUACAAUGGCGUAAACAAGGGAAGCGAGAUUGUGAGAGCAAGCGGACCUCAUAAAGUGCGUCGUAGUCCGGAUUGGAGUCUGCAACUCGACUCCAUGAAAGUCGGAAAUCGCUAGUAAUCGUGGAUCAGAAUGCCACGGUGAAUACGUUCCCGGGCCUUG
rnacentral:rRNA from 1 species